rnacentral:lncRNA from 1 species
UGGGCUGAGUACCUGUCAUGGGGUUUCCCGGUGGAAACACCUGGCUCUCCAAAGAAUGCAGUCAAUUCCCAAUUUGUGAACAGCCAGGAAUUCACUCUGUAAAUUGUUCAGAACGCUAUAGAAACUAGGUCAUACUUAGUUGAUUUGUUCAGGCCAACCCCCAAAAGCUAUGAAACAAGAAGUGCUCUGUUUAUUGAAGAAACUGAAUACUUAGUUCCAAAGUUUCUGGGAUCAAGGAUGUACAUCUCAUUGAAUGAAUCAUUCCUUCUUGUAGGGUCUCAACCUACAUAGUAACUGGAUGAUUGCAAAGUAAUUUAAGGAUUAGGUACUGACGCCAGAAUCUCUUAAGCAAGUAUGCCCUAGCAAGAAUCUACAUGUCUAACAGGGUCCCAGAGAAUUCUCAGGAUAACCAAAAUUUCCAAACCACUGGAGCAAGUAACGAACAAGAAAAACAUAUAAGUACAUACAUGGGGUCUUCAUUGACAAGUACAAAUAAGGGGAAAAUAUUUGCUCAAUUUUUUUGUACUUUUAUUUUGUUAGGCAAGAUCUUAAGAGACCACAACACCAAAUGUGUUCUCAAUUAUCUCAUUUUAUCACAUGAAAGAUAUAAUUUUGGAAUUUCAAAAAAUAUAAAUUUAGUUUUAAGAAGGACCACAUUCCAGGCCGGGCGUGGUGGCUCACGCCUGUAAUCCUAGCACUUUGGGAGGCCGAGGCGGGAGGAUCACAAGGUCAGGAGAUCAAGACCAUCCUGGCUAACACAAUGAAACCCCGUCUCUACUAAAAAUACAAAAAUUAGCCGGGCGUGGUGGCACGGGCCUGUAGUCUCAGCUACUCGGGAGGCUGAGGCAGGAGAAUCACUUGAACCCGGGAGGCAGAGUUUGCAGUGAGCUGAGAUUGCGUCAUUGCACUCCAGCCUGGGCGACAGAGCAAGGCUCCUUUUCAAAAAAAAAAAAAAAAAAAAAAAGGAGCAUAUCAUUCUUGAGAUGGGAGUUUCGCUCUUGUUGCCUAGGCUGGAGUGCAAUGGCGCCAUCUCUGCUCACUGCCACCACCACCUUCCGGGUUCAAGAGACUCAAGAAGGACUGUAUCAUUCUUAAUUUACAUUAAGGUUGAGGCUGCAAGACUGCUGUGAGCUAUGAUCACACCAUUGUACUCCAUCCUGGGCGACAAAAGGAGACCUAUCUCAAAAAAUAAGGAAGGGGGAAGGGAUGAAGAGAGGGAGAAAGGGAAGUUUGGAAGAAAAGGAAAGAAAAAAAUGUGGAAAAAAUCGAUCCAACAAAAAGGUAUUAAGACUCAUAAAGACUGUCUUAUGUAGCAGUGAACAUUUGUCUUAUGAUUUGUUAAUGGAGAGUCCACCAAUCUUUCAAAUACGACAUAGAGACAAUGUCAUUUCUAAGUUGAAAGUGGAGUUGAGACAACAGAGUGAUUAAAAUGAUUAGUACUAAAAGUAUAUACUUGUAUUUAUUUUAAUUUACCUAGAAUAAUAUGUCAAGAAUCAUAUACUCGAAGAUGAAAAUUACAGCUUUUCUGAGGAUGGUAGCACAAAGAGUAAAAAUGCUUCUCCACACUGUAGUUUGUUAAUGGUCUACAUAUAAAAAUAUUACUGGGCAAAUAAUAUGUACCUAUAUAUGAAAAUAAAAUGGAAAAAAUUUGGAAAAUAUACGGAACUGAUCAAAUUUAAAAGAAAUGCAAGACUACAAUAAUACUUAAAACAUAUAGAAUAAGUAUAUAAGUGCUUGAUUAGAAAAAUAAAAGGUAGAUAGAUACCUGUGCUGCUUUUUAAGACUGGGGGCUUCUGAACAGUAAAAUUGCUUGCUUGCUAAAUAGAAGAAAGUCUUAAAGGACAUAGGUCACUCUUUUCUGACAACUGGUUCAUCAUUGUUCCUUAAGCUACUCUUGCUCAAGAAAAAGAAUUCUGCUAUAAAAAGAAUUCUGUUUAAACAGUUUUAAAACUAAAAAGAAAAGGACUACUUGCACUUUGCAUUUAGGAAACUCUAAGACCAAAGAUUAUUUCCUGACUAAGGUUACGAAGUUUGAAGUAAAAGAACAGAAAAAUGCAAGUACAGCAGCCCCUCUUAUUUGUAGGGAUACAUUCCAAGAUCCUCAGUGAAUGCCUGAAACCUUGGAUGGUAAUGAACCCUGUAUACACAUACAGUCUUCCUUCUGUAUUGGUGGGUUCCACACUGGUAGACAAUCAACCACAGAUCAAAAAUAUUUUUAAAUAAAAAUACAAUUAAAAAAACAAAAAUACAGUGUAACAACUAUUUACAUAGAAUUUACAGGGCUUUGGUUAGUAAUCUAGAGAGGAUUUAAAGUAUAUGGGAGGAUGUGUGUAGGUUGUAUGCAAAUACUAUGACAUUUUAUAUAAGGUCCUUGAGCAUAUUAUCAAGAGUCCUGGAUCCAAUCCCCCAAGGAUGCUGAGGGACAAUUGUACCAUGUUUUUUUUCCAGUUGAUAACUGACAUAGCCGCUGAGUGACCGAUGGGUGAGUAGGGUCAACAGCAUAGAUGCAGUGGACAAAGAUGAUUCACAUUCCUAUCAGGAUGGAAAUGGUGAGAGACUUCAUUACAUUACUCAGAAUAGUGCACACUUUAAAACUUACGAAAUGUUUUUCUUUCCUGGGACUUUCCAUUUAAUAUUUUUGGCCAGGGAUGACUGCAAGUAACUUGAACCGUGGAAAGAGAAACCUCAGAUAAGGGGGAGACUACUGUUAAGUAAUUUGGAAUGCUUAGUUUUUCUAUUUCCCCAAAACAACCCUUUUUUUCUUUUUGAAAAGGGACAUUUUUGUAAGUAUUUAGUCUCCAUGCCUUCUAACACAAAACCAAUGCCCUUCUCUAAUUAUCUGACAACUUAAGUAUCUUAUUCUAAAAUUGAUCUGCCUCCUAUCUUAGGUAAAAUAAAAAAUAAAAACAUAAGUUUACAAUCAUCAUGCUUCUUAAAAUAAUGCCUCAAACCAACAUUUUUGAGAAUACGGCUGUUAAAAAAAGCUGCCAGCAAAUUGGAGCCGGGACUGUUUUCUGCCUUGCACUUCAUGCAGAUAUUUAGUAUUUCUUACAACCAUCUUUGAAUAAUAGCUGUUGAAUUUAUUGCCCCUUCCUUGUAUCCCUCAAACAAGUUGUUCUUUCCAGAUACUGUAGCUGUUACAUAUUUCUAGAUGUUGGCUUAAGAGGACCUAUAGGUUGUUUCUUGUCUUCUUAGUUGAUUUCUAAUAUUUUAUUAUCAUGUUCAUUUAACUCUCGUUUGCCCAUUUUGAAUCAUAUUUCUUAUAAAGUAAGUCAAACGUUAAGGUAAUCUGUGGCACAUUUCACACUGAACACGUCAUCUCACAUUCAAUUUCUCUUUGUUGCUUUUCUCUUUAUAACAUUGUAUAAUAUUGCACCAAAUGAAUUCUGGAAAACAAGUUUGAUCAAGUUCAAUAAAUAACAGUGUUAUACUCAGUAGUCUGGCAUUUAGGGCUAUACACAAUGUGGAUGACCUGAGUAUCUCUGUGCUUACCUUCCAUUACUUUCCUGCUGGUCUGUUCACUCUCCUACCAAGAGUCCUCACAUUCUUUUGUCUAGGAGUUUGGUUGUAAUGUAUUACUAUAGACUGACUACUGUAGGUCCAAAAUUCAUGAGUUGAACCCCUGACCACCAAUGUGUUGGUAUUUGGAGAUGGAGCUUUGGAAAGUGAUAAAGUUUGGAUACAUGUCCCCACCAAAUCUCACGUUGAAUUCUAAUCCCCAAAUUUGGAUGUGGGGCCUAGUGGGAGGUGAAUGGAUCAUGGGGGCAGAUUUCUCAUGAAUGGCUUAGGACCAUCCCCUUGGUGCUAUCUUUGCAAUUGUGAGUGAGUUCUUGUGAGAUCUAGUUGUUUAAAAGUGUGUAGCACCUUCCCCGUCUCUUUCUUGCUCCUGUUUUUGCCAUGUGAGUGCCUACUCCCUCUUUGCCUUCCACCACUACUAAAAGCUUCCUGAGACCUCCCGUAAGCAAAUGCCAGCACUGUGUUACCUGUACAGCUUGCAGAACUGUGAGCCAGCUUCUUUUCUUCAAAAUUACCCAGUCUCUGGUAUUUUUUUUUUAUAGCAAUGCAAAAAUGGCCUUAUACAGAAAAUUGGUACCAAGGAGUGGG